rnacentral:rRNA from 1 species
GUUGUAUAGUCAAGUAAUUAAGUGCAUGUGGUGGAUGCCUUGGCAGUCAGAGGCGAUGAAAGACGUGAUAGCCUGCGAAAAGCUCCGGGGAGGCGGCAAAUAUCCUUUGAUCCGGAGAUGUCUGAAUGGGGGAACCCACCUACUUUAAGGUAGGUAUUGCAACAUGAAUACAUAGUGUUGCAAGGCGAACGAGGGGAAGUGAAACAUCUCAGUACCCUUAGGAAAAGAAAUCAAUUGAGAUUCCCUCAGUAGCGGCGAGCGAACGGGGAUCAGCCCAUUAAGUUAUGUGUGUUUUAGUGGAACGCUCUGGGAAGUGCGAACGUAGAGGGUGAUAUUCCCGUACACGAAAGGGCACACAUAAUGAUGACGAGUAGGGCGAGGCACGUGAAACCUUGUCUGAAUAUGGGGGGACCAUCCUCCAAGGCUAAAUACUCCUGACUGACCGAUAGUGAACCAGUACCGUGAGGGAAAGGCGAAAAGAACCCCUGUGAGGGGAGUGAAAUAGAUCCUGAAACCGCAUGCAUACAAGCAGUGGGAGCACCUUCGUGGUGUGACUGCGUACCUUUUGUAUAAUGGGUCAGCGACUUAUAUUCAGUAGCGAGGUUAACCGUAUAGGGGAGCCGUAGAGAAAUCGAGUCUUAAUAGGGCGUUUAGUUGCUGGGUAUAGACCCGAAACCAGGCGAUCUAUCCAUGAGCAGGUUGAAGGUUGGGUAACACUAACUGGAGGACCGAACCCACUGUCGUUGAAAAGCCAGGGGAUGACUUGUGGAUAGGGGUGAAAGGCUAAUCAAGCCUGGUGAUAGCUGGUUCUCCCCGAAAGCUAUUUAGGUAGCGCCUCGGACGAAUACCAUAGGGGGUAGAGCACUGUUUCGGCUAGGGGGUCAUCCCGACUUACCAAACCGAUGCAAACUCCGAAUACCUAUGAGUACUAUCCGGGAGACAGACUGCGGGUGCUAACGUCCGUAGUCAAGAGGAAAACAAUCCAGACCGCCAGCUAAGGCCCCAAAAUCAUAGUUAAGUGGGAAACGAUGUGGGAAGGCAUAGACAGCUAGGAGGUUGGCUUAGAAGCAGCCACCCUUUAAAGAAAGCGUAAUAGCUCACUAGUCGAGUCGGCCUGCGCGGAAGAUGUAACGGGGCUAAAACUAUGUGCCGAAGCUGCGGAUUUGACAUUAGUCAAGUGGUAGGGGAGCGUUCUGUAAGCCGAUGAAGGUGUAUUGAGAAGUAUGCUGGAGGUAUCAGAAGUGCGAAUGCUGACGUGAGUAACGACAAAACGGGUGAAAAACCCGUUCGCCGAAAGACCAAGGGUUCCAGUCCAACGUUAAUCGGGGCUGGGUGAGUCGACCCCUAAGGCGAGGCCGAAAGGCGUAGUCGAUGGGAAAAUGGUUAAUAUUCCAUUACUUCUGUGUAAUGCGAUGAGAGGACGGAGAAGGCUAAAUCAGCCUGGCGUUGGUUGUCCAGGUGAAAGGAUGUAGGCAUGUAUCUUAGGCAAAUCCGGGGUACUCUAUGCUGAGAUCUGAUAGCAAGCUGUACUUGUACAGCGAAGUGGUUGAUGCCAUGCUUCCAGGAAAAGUCUCUAAGCUUCAGUUACACAGGAAUCGUACCCGAAACCGACACAGGUGGUCAGGUCGAGUAGACCAAGGCGCUUGAGAGAACUCUGCUGAAGGAACUAGGCAAAAUGGUACCGUAACUUCGGGAGAAGGUACGCUGUUGUUGGUGAUGGAACUCGCUUCCUGAGCUGACGACAGCCGCAGAAACCAGGCCGCUGCAACUGUUUAUUAAAAACAUAGCACUCUGCAAACACGAAAGUGGACGUAUAGGGUGUGAUGCCUGCCCGGUGCUGGAAGGUUAAUUGAUGGGGUUAGCGUAAGCGAAGCUCUUGAUCGAAGCCCCAGUAAACGGCGGCCGUAACUAUAACGGUCCUAAGGUAGCGAAAUUCCUUGUCGGGUAAGUUCCGACCUGCACGAAUGGCAUAAUGAUGGCGGCGCUGUCUCCAGCAGAGGCUCAGUGAAAUCGAAAUCGCUGUGAAGAUGCAGUGUACCCGCGGCUAGACGGAAAGACCCCGUGAACCUUUACUGCAGCUUGACACUGAACUUUGACCUUACUUGUGUAGGAUAGGUGGGAGGCUUUGAAGCUGGAACGCUAGUUCCAGUGGAGCCGUCCUUGAAAUACCACCCUGGUAAUGUUGAGGUUCUAACUCUGUCCCGUGAUCCGGGACGAGGACCGUGUCUGGUGGGUAGUUUGACUGGGGCGGUCUCCUCCUAAAGAGUAACGGAGGAGUACGAAGGUGCGCUCAGCGUGGUCGGAAAUCACGCGUAGAGUAUAAAGGCAAAAGCGCGCUUAACUGCGAGACCCACAAGUCGAGCAGGUACGAAAGUAGGUCUUAGUGAUCCGGUGGUUCUGUAUGGAAGGGCCAUCGCUCAACGGAUAAAAGGUACUCUGGGGAUACCAGGCUGAUACCGCCCCAGAGUUAAUAUCGACGGCGGUGUUUGGGACCCCGAUGUCGGCCCAUC